rnacentral:rRNA from 1 species
GCAGCAUGGUCUUAGCUUGCUAAGGCUGAUGGCGACCGGCGCACGGGUGAGUAACACGUAUCCAACCUGCCGUCUACUCUUGGCCAGCCUUCUGAAAGGAAGAUUAAUCCAGGAUGGGAUCAUGAGUUCACAUGUCCGCAUGAUUAAAGGUAUUUUCCGGUAGACGAUGGGGAUGCGUUCCAUUAGAUAGUAGGCGGGGUAACGGCCCACCUAGUCAACGAUGGAUAGGGGUUCUGAGAGGAAGGUCCCCCACAUUGGAACUGAGACACGGUCCAAACUCCUACGGGAGGCAGCAGUGAGGAAUAUUGGUCAAUGGGCGAUGGCCUGAACCAGCCAAGUAGCGUGAAGGAUGACUGCCCUAUGGGUUGUAAACUUCUUGUUAUAAAGGAAUAAAGNNUCGGGGUAUGCAUACCCGUUUGCAUGUACUUUAUGAAUAAGGAUCGGCUAACUCCGUGCCAGCAGCCGCGGUAAUACGGAGGAUCCGAGCGUUAUCCGGAUUUAUUGGGUUUAAAGGGAGCGUAGAUGGAUGUUUAAGUCAGUUGUGAAAGUUUGCGGCUCAACCGUAAAAUUGCAGUUGAUACUGGAUGUCUUGAGUGCAGUUGAGGCAGGCGGAAUUCGUGGUGUAGCGGUGAAAUGCUUAGAUAUCACGAAGAACUCCGAUUGCG